AUACCCGUGGCGAAGGCGGCCUUCUGGACAGUACUGACGCUGAGAUGCGAAGCGUGGGGAGCAAACAGGAUUAGAUACCCUGGUAGUCACGCUGUAAACGAUGUCGAUUUGGAGUUUGUUGCCUAGAGUGAUGGGCUCCGAAGCUAACGCGAUAAAUCGACCGCUGGGGAGUACGGCCGCAAGGUUAAAACUCAAAUGAAUUGACGGGGGCCCGCACAAGCGGUGGAGCAUGUGGUUUAAUUCGAUGCAACGCGAAGAACCUUACCUGGUCUUGACAUCCAUAGAAUUCUGCAGAGAUGUGGGAGUGCCUUCGGGAACUAUGAGACAGGUGCUGCAUGGCUGUCGUCAGCUCGUGUUAUGAAAUGUUGGGUUAAGUCCCGCAACGAGCGCAACCCUUAUUCUUUGUUGCCAGCGAUUUGGUCGGGAACUCAAAGGAGACUGCCGUUGAUAAAGCGGAGGAAGGUGGGGACGACGUCAAGUCAUCAUGGCCCUUACGACCAGGGCUACACACGUGCUACAAUGGCGUAUACAAAGGGAAGCGAAGGUGCGAGCUGGAGCGGAUCUCAUAAAGUACGUCUAAGUUCGGAUUGGAGUCUGCAACUCGACUCCAUGAAGUCGGAAUCGCUAGUAAUCGUAGAUCAGAAUGCUACGGUGAAUACGUUCCCGGGCCUUGUACACACCGCCCGUCACACCAUGGGAGUGGGUUGCACCAGAAGUAGAUAGCUUAACCGCGAGGGGGGCGUUUACCACGGUGUGAUUCAUGACUGGGGUGAAGUCGUAACAAGGUAACCA
rnacentral:rRNA from 1 species